rnacentral:rRNA from 1 species
UACGUAGGGGGCGAGCGUUGUCCGGAUUCAUUGGGCGUAAAGAGCUCGUAGGCGGCUUGCUAAGUCGGGUGUGAAACCCCCGAGCUCAACUCGGGGUCGCCAUCUGAUACUGGUAUGGCUGGAGUCCGGUAGGGGACCACGGAAUUCCUGGUGUAGCAGUGAAAUGCGCAGAUAUCAGGAGGAACACCGAUGGCGAAGGCAGUGGUCUGGGCCGGUACUGACGCUGAGGAGCGAAAGCGUGGGGAGCGAACAGG